rnacentral:rRNA from 1 species
GAAAAUGGAUGGCGCUCAAGCGUGUUACCCAUACCCCACCGUCGGCGUUUUUGUGAAGCGCCGACGAGUAGGCAGGCGUGGGGGUUUGUGUAGAAGCCUUGGCAGUGAUGCCGGGUGGAACGGCCCCUAGUGCAGAUCUUGGUGGUAGUAGCAAAUAUUCAAGUGAGAACCUUGAAGACUGAAGUGGAGAAAGGUUCCAUGGUAACAGCAGUUGGACAUGGGUUAGUCGAUCCUAAGAGAUAGGGAAGCUCCGUUUUAAAGUGCAUGAUUAUCCAUGCCACCCAUCGAAAGGGAAUCCGGUUAAGAUUCCGGAACCAGGACAUGGAUCUUUGACGGUAACGUAAAUGAAGUUGGUGACGCUGGUAAGGGCCCUGGGAAGAGUUAUCUUUUCUCCUUGACCGUCUAUAACCUUGAAAUCGGAUUAUCCGGAGAUAAGGUUCAAUGACGGGCAAAGUGCAGCACUUCUGUUGCAUCCGGUGCGUCCUUAACAGUCCUUGAAAAACCGACGGAACGUAUUACUCUCAUGCCUGGUCGUACUCAUAACCGCAGCAGGUCUCCAAGGUGAAAAGCCUCUAGUUGAUAGAACAAUGUAGAUAAGGGAAGCC